CGGGAUAUGGCGCAGUUUGGUAGCGCACCUCGUUCGGGACGAGGGGGUCGCAGGUUCAAAUCCUGUUAUCCCGACAA
rnacentral:tRNA from 2 species